rnacentral:rRNA from 1 species
CCUACGGGAGGCAGCAGUGGGGAAUAUUGCGCAAUGGGCGAACGCCUGACGCAGCGACGCCGCGUGAGGGAUGAAGGUCUUCGGAUCGUAAACCUCUGUCAGCAGGGAAGAACGGUCACUGUGCUAAUCAGCCGUGAAUUGACGGUACCUGCAAAGGAAGCACCGGCUAACUCCGUGCCAGUAGCCGCGGUAAUACGGAGGGUGCGAGCGUUAAUCGGAAUUACUGGGCGUAAAGCGCUCGUAGGCGGUAUGUCAAGUCAAGGGUGAAAUCCCCGCGCUCAACGUGGGAACUGCCUUUGAAAAUGGCAAACUGGAGUGUGUGAGGGGAUAGUGGAAUUCCAGGUGUAGGAGUGAAAUCCGUAGAUAUCUGGAGGAACAUCAGUGGCGAAGGCGACUAUCUGGCACAUAACUGACGCUGAGGAGCGAAAGCGUGGGUAGCAAACAGGAUUAGAUACCCCAGUAGUC